GUCGGCCGCCGCAGGGAACGAGGCGGCCGCCCGCGAAGGUGGUCUCGCUUUAUUGCAAGGACGAACCCGGUGAUACACCGUUCCCUCGGCCGGGGUGGUUGCCUGUGAUGUUACAGACAGAAGCAGACACAGCAGAGAGAGUGUGAGCUUUCCAGCGGGACACAUGGCAGCGGGGAUCUGCUCCAGCAUGUUCAUUCCUUUUUUCUCCAAGAAAUCUCUGCA